rnacentral:rRNA from 1 species
UACGUAGGGGGCUAGCGUUGUCCGGAUUUACUGGGCGUAAAGAGCGCGCAGGCGGUUGGAUAAGUCGAAUGUGAAAGCCCCCCGGCUCAACUGGGGAGGGUCAUUCGAUACUGUCCGACUCGAAGGCAGGAGAGGGAAGCGGAAUUCCCGGUGUAGUGGUGAAAUGCGUAGAUAUCGGGAGGAACACCAGUGGCGAAGGCGGCUUUCUGGCCUGUUCUUGACGCUGAGGCGCGAAAGCCAGGGGAGCAAAGCGGG